AACCUCUAAGGGUCGCAUCUGGAGAAUUUCCAGUACUCUACCAGUCUUGACUACAGAAGGGAGAGUCCAGCAGAGGCAUAUCCAUUCCAUUCCUAGCUUGGGCAGUGGAUAGUGAGUGGAAGGCAAUCUGCUAUAAGU